rnacentral:rRNA from 1 species
UACAAGGGGUGGAGCGUGCGGUUUAAUUGGAUUCAACGCCGGGAACCUCACCGGGGGCGACGGCAGGAUGAAGGCCAGGCUGAAGGUCUUGCCGGACACGCCGAGAGGAGGUGCAUGGCCGCCGUCAGCUCGUACCGUGAGGCGUCCACUUAAGUGUGGUAACGAGCGAGACCCGUGCCCCCAGUUGCCAGCCCUUCCCGUUGGGAAGGGGGCACUCUGGGGGGACUGCCGGCGAUAAGCCGGAGGAAGGAGCGGGCGACGGUAGGUCAGUAUGCCCCGAAACCCCCGGGCUACACGCGCGCUACAAUGGGUGGGACAAUGGGAUCCGACCCCGAAAGGGGAAGGGAAUCCCCUAAACCCGCCCCCAGUUCGGAUCGCGGGCUGCAACUCGCCCGCGUGAAGCUGGAAUCCCUAGUACCCGCGUGUCAUCAUCGCGCGGCGAAUACGUCCCUGCU